GGGCCUAUAGCUCAGCUGGUUAGAGUGCACCCCUGAUAAGGGUGAGGUCCCUGGUUCAAGUCCAGGUAGGCCCA
rnacentral:tRNA from 2 species